UGACCACACCACCAGAAUCAGCCAGAACUACCCUCUGGCAAAAAGAAUGGGAGAAACUAGGCAACAGAGCUGUUGAAUGGAGUUGGCAAGGAAUUACCCCCAGUGAGAAGUUAGUAUCUAGCUCCAACUACAAAUGGCAUACAGGGCAGAG